rnacentral:rRNA from 1 species
CCCGAUGAACCUGAAUAUCCGUUAUGGAAAAUUCAUCAUUAGAAUUGUAAUAUUUAAACAAUAUUAUAAUAAUAGUGUGCAUUUUUUCCAUAUAAGGACAUUGUAAUCUAUUAGCAUAUUAAUUUAUCAUAAAAUUAUGUCAUAUAGUUUAUUUCAAUUAAAAUGCUUGCGUUUUAACAUGAAAUAAAAGUUGUAAAUUUGAUAAAGUGCUGAUAGAUUUAUAAAAAUACAGUGCGUUAAUUUUUCGGAAUUAUAUAAUGGCAUAAUUAUCAUUGAUUUUUAUGUUUAUUAUAUGCACUUGUAUGAUUAACAAUGCGAAAGAUUCAGGAUACCUUCGGG